UGAAUCCAUUCUCACUCAUACUCUCUCCCAAAAAACCCUAAGUCUCAGUUUUCUCAGAAAUUUCCUCUCACACUCUCAUGGCCGCCGCCGUCGCCGCUUUUGCGCCGUCGAACUCGCCAUCGCUUUUGCUCCACCGUUGGCGUGAAGGUUUGUUCGCUCAUGAGGUCCCACCGUUCGCGUGAAGGUUUGUUCCAGUUAUUUUCGCUCAAGUCGCACAAAGCAAAUCCACUCCCUCUUCAUCCACUUAUGCGCCGUUUCAGCCUUCGACGACCUCUCCUACGCCGUCUUUGUUGCCGUCACACAACAACCGCCUCUCAACCAUUUCAUAUGGAACACCCUCAUUUUAAGCGUGUUUCUAGAUUCUAAUAUGAGUGGUCUGGUUCUAGUCACAACAUUAGGGGUUUAAUCGCCAACGCCGGUGCUGGUGCUGACGCAGGGGCAAUAGCAGCUUACAUUUGUGUGUCGUCAUCAAGACAAGGCUUCAAGUUCAUGGCCUUCCUCCUUCGCAAAAAGGUUUGGGUUGGAACUUCCGGUUUCAUCUCCUCUAUAAGCCUCGACAUCUCAGGAUAGAGGGAGCAAUUUGCUUUGUGUUUCCCUUUUGUGGAUGUGAAGCUUCUUGAAUCAAGAGGUACAUCCCUAUCGGUCUAAGUUUGAAGCUACUGAAGGGUUUGACACAUGUGCUUGUGGGUAAAAUCGUUGUUGGGACUUAACUUUAUGGGUUCUCACUAUGAUGAAUUAUAUGCUGAGUUGAUGACCUUGUAUUUAGAUGAAUAUUUAUGUAUUUGACACUUAUGUUUUUAGUUAUGCUUUUGACAUUUUACCAUGACUA